AACGAACGCUGGCGGCAGGCUUAACACAUGCAAGUCGAACGCCCCGCAAGGGGAGUGGCAGACGGGUGAGUAACGCGUGGGAACAUACCCUUUUCUACGGAAUAGCUCUGGGAAACUGGAAUUAAUACCGUAUACGCCCUCCGGGGGAAAGAUUUAUCGGGGAAGGAUUGGCCCGCGUUGGAUUAGCUAGUUGGUAGGGUAAAGGCCUACCAAGGCGACGAUCCAUAGCUGGUCUGAGAGGAUGAUCAGCCACAUUGGGGCUGAGACACGGCCCAAACUCCUACGGGAGGCAGCAGUGGGGGAUAUUGGACAAUGGGCGCAAGCCUGAUCGAGCCAGGCCGCGUGAGUGAUGAAGGCCUUAGAGUUGUAAAGCUCUUUCACCGAUGAAGAUAAUGACGGUAGUCGGAGAAGAAGCCCCGGCUAACUUCGUG
rnacentral:rRNA from 1 species